UGUUCCUACGGGGGGCAGCAGUGGGGAAUAUUGCACAAUGGGCGCAAGCCUGAUGCAGCGACGCCGCGUGAGCGAAGAAGUAUUUCGGUAUGUAAAGCUCUCUCAGCAGGGAAGAAAAUGACGGUACCUGACUAAGAAGCUCCGGCUAAAUACGUGCCAGCAGCCGCGGUAAUACGUAUGGAGCAAGCGUUAUCCGGAAUUACUGGGUGUAAAGGGAGCGUAGACGGCGCGGCAAGUCUGAAGUGAAAGGCAGGGGCUUAACCCCUGAACUGCUUUGGAAACUGCCAUGCUAGAG
rnacentral:rRNA from 1 species